CCUACGGGGGGCAGCAGUGGGGAAUAUUGCACAAUGGGGGAAACCCUGAUGCAGCAACGCCGCGUGAGCGAUGAAGGCCUUCGGGUCGUAAAGCUCUGUCCUAAGGGACGAAUACUGACGGUACCUUAGGAGGAAGCCUCGGCUAACUACGUGCCAGCAGCCGCGGUAAUACGUAGGGGGCUAGCGUUGUCCGGAAUUACUGGGCGUAAAGGGUGCGUAGGCGGCCCUUCAAGUCAGAGGUGAAAGGCUACGGCUCAACCGUAGUAAGCCUUUGAAACUGUAGGGCUUGAGUGCAGGAGAGGAGAGUGGAAUUCCCAGUGUAGCGGUGAAAUGCGUAGAUAUUGGGAGGAACAGCAAUAGCGAAGGGGGCUGUGUGGAAUGUAACUGACGCUGAGGUACGAAAGUGUGGGGAGCGAACAGAAUGAGAUACCCGAUUAGUC
rnacentral:rRNA from 1 species